rnacentral:rRNA from 1 species
GUCGUAACAAGGUUUCCGUAGGUGAACCUGCGGAAGGAUCAUUAGUGAACGCCCUCACGGGCUUAUAACUAUUCCAAACCUCUGUGAACCGUGCCCUUCGGGGCUAUUUUACAAACAUGGUGUAAUGAACGUCAUAUAUCAUAACAAAACAAAACUUUCAACAACGGAUCUCUUGGCUCUCGCAUCGAUGAAGAACGCAGCGAAAUGCGAUAAGUAAUGUGAAUUGCAGAAUUCAGUGAAUCAUCGAAUCUUUGAACGCACCUUGCGCCCUCUGGUAUUCCGGAGGGCAUGCCUGUUUGAGUGUCAUGUAGACUCAAUCCCUCGGGUUUCCGAGGAGAUUGGACUUGGGUGUUGCCGCUCUGCCGGCUCGCCUUAAAAGACUUAGCGGGAUAGCACCGUAGUCGGCGUAAUAAGUUUCGUCGGUGAAGGUUGUGAUGACUGCUUACAAUCGCCCUCGGGCAAUUUUUGACUCUGACCUCAAAUCAGGUAGGACUACCCGCUGAACUUAAGCAUAUCAAUAAGCGGAGGAAAAGAAACUAACAAGGAUUCCCCUAGUAGCGGCGAGCGAAGCGGGAUGAGCUCAAAUUUGAAAGCUGGCGUCCUUCGGGCGUCCGCAUUGUAAUCUAUAGAGGCGUUUUCUGUGCUGGACCGUGUACAGUCUCCUG